GGAAGUAAAAGUCGUAACAAGGUUUCCGUAGGUGAACCUGCGGAAGGAUCAUUAGUGAUUGCCUUUAUAGGCUUAUAACUAUAUCCACUUACACCUGUGAACUGUUCUACUACUUGACGCAAGUCGAGUAUUUUUACAAACAAUGUGUAAUGAACGUCGUUUUAUUAUAACAAAAUAAAACUUUCAACAACGGAUCUCUUGGCUCUCGCAUCGAUGAAGAACGCAGCGAAUUGCGAUAAGUAAUGUGAAUUGCAGAAUUCAGUGAAUCAUCGAAUCUUUGAACGCAGCUUGCGCUCUCUGGUAUUCCGGAGAGCAUGCCUGUUUCAGUGUCAUGAAAUCUCAACCACUAGGGUUUCCUAAUGGAUUGGAUUUGGGCGUCUGCGAUUUCUGAUCGCUCGCCUUAAAAGAGUUAGCAAGUUUGACAUUAAUGUCCGGUGUAAUAAGUUUCACUGGGUCCAUUGUGUUGAAGCGUGCUUCUAAUCGUCCGCAAGGACAAUUACUUUGACUCUGGCCUGAAAUCAGGUAGGACUACCCGCUGAACUUAAGCAUAUCAAUAAGCGGAGGA
rnacentral:rRNA from 1 species